rnacentral:rRNA from 1 species
GAACGGCAGCACAGCAGUAGCAAUACUGUGGGUGGCGAGUGGCGGACGGGUGAGGAAUACAUCGGAAUCUGCCCAGUCGUGGGGGAUAACAUAGGGAAACUUAUGCUAAUACCGCAUACGACCUAAGGGUGAAAGCGGGGGAUCGCAAGACCUCGCGCGAUUGGAUGAGCCGAUGUCCGAUUAGCUAGUUGGCGGGGUAAUGGCCCACCAAGGCGACGAUCGGUAGCUGGUCUGAGAGGAUGAUCAGCCACACUGGAACUGAGACACGGUCCAGACUCCUACGGGAGGCAGCAGUGGGGAAUAUUGGACAAUGGGCGCAAGCCUGAUCCAGCCAUGCCGCGUGGGUGAAGAAGGCCUUCGGGUUGUAAAGCCCUUUUGUCCGGAAAGAAAAGCACUGGAUUAAUACUUCGGUGUUCUGACGGUACCGGAAGAAUAAGCACCGGCUAACUUCGUGCCAGCAGCCGCGGUAAUACGAAGGGUGCAAGCGUUACUCGGAAUUACUGGGCGUAAAGCGUGCGUAGGUGGUUCGUUAAGUCUGAU